UCCCUGGUGGCUCAGGUGGUACAGCGUCUGCCUGCGAUACAGGAGACCUGGGUUCAAUCCCUGGGUUGGGAA
rfam:TPA: Bos taurus chromosome 6, whole genome shotgun sequence.